rnacentral:rRNA from 1 species
GAGUUUGAUCCUGGCUCAGGAUGAACGCUGGCGGCGUGCCUAACACAUGCAAGUCGAGCGAAGCGCUAUACUUGAAUUCUUCGGAAGGAAAGUAUUGUGACUGAGCGGCGGACGGGUGAGUAACGCGUGGGUAACCUGCCUCAUACAGGGGGAUAACAGUUAGAAAUGACUGCUAAUACCGCAUAAGACCACAGCACCGCAUGGUGCGGGGGUAAAAACUCCGGUGGUAUGAGAUGGACCUGCGUCUGAUUAGCUAGUUGGUGAGGUAACGGCCCACCAAGGCGACGAUCAGUAGCCGGCCUGAGAGGGCGACCGGCCACAUUGGGACUGAGACACGGCCCAAACUCCUACGGGAGGCAGCAGUGGGGAAUAUUGCACAAUGGGGGAAACCCUGAUGCAGCGACGCCGCGUGAGUGAAGAAGUAUUUCGGUAUGUAAAGCUCUAUCAGCAGGGAAGAAGAAAGACGGUACCUGACUAAGAAGCCCCGGCUAACUACGUGCCAGCAGCCGCGGUAAUACGUAGGGGGCAAGCGUUAUCCGGAU